rnacentral:sRNA from 2 species
AUAAAUCUGUUGCCGAAUCCCAUUUUUUUGGGAACGGGGGACCCGUUUUUUAUGGGGUUAAUCCAGUAUCAAUAUAAUUAUUACUGGAAGGAGACCUUUUACUCCUAACCCGACAGCUAACCUCGUAGGCGUUAAAAGGACAGAUA